rnacentral:rRNA from 1 species
CAGCCGCCACGGUAAUACGAAGGGUGCAAGCGUUAAUCGGAAUUACUGGGCGUAAAGCGUGCGUAGGCGGUUUGUUAAGUCUGUUGUGAAAUCCCCGGGCUCAACCUGGGAAUGGCAAUGGAUACUGGCAAGCUAGAGUGUGUCAGAGGAUGGUGGAAUUCCCGGUGUAGCGGUGAAAUGCGUAGAGAUCGGGAGGAACAUCAGUGGCGAAGGCGGCCAUCUGGGACAACACUGACGCUGAGGCACGAAAGCGUGGGGAGCAAACAGGAUUAGAUACCCCAUAGUCCCUGUCUCUUAUACC